rnacentral:lncRNA from 1 species
GGCUGCUCGUUGUCUGUGGCCUCCCUCCCCAUGUGUCCUCUAUGAUCUGGGAACCUGUUCUCCUGAUUGGAAACAGAUGGGUCUGCUGCGGCUGGAGGCCUAAGCUUUCUACUCACUCCAUGUCCUCCCCCAGGAGAGGAGGCGGGGGUAGACCAAGGGCAAGUGGUGGAGGUGUGUGUGGGGUCCCUCUUCGCAGGGGCUGCGGGGGAGAGCCCUUCUUCCCUUCUCCGUCUCUCUUGUGGCCUGGAAACCUUUCUAUUAGCCUACAGAGGGUGGCUGGCUGUGGACAGCCUCUCACUGAGGCAUGGGUGGGCAGUUUGCUACCUUACCUGAUGCCAUCCUCUAGGAGCAGUACCCGCUGCCCUCACCUCCCUACCCUGCCCCCCAUUCUCAGAGCUCAGCUCAGCUGCAGAUUGUCAAGUGGGGGCUGACCAUGCCUGACCCCUGGUCUCCUGGAGUAGCCUUAAGGUCAUUUCCUUCGCCUCGGCUUCCUUGGUUUUGGCAGACAGAGAGGUUCCUGCACUGGGGCUUGAGUGGAAGGGCUGGGGCUGGGCUGGGGCCCAGGGUUCCCAUCAUAUCAGGCCUGGCAGCCACCUGGCUGCAAAUGGCUCCCCAGCACAAAUGUUUUGCAGCUGUCCCUCGGUCGGCUUGCCCUGGAGAGCCUUGAGACAGAGGUGGGGAGUCCAGGAGACAGAGGGCACAAGUAGAGAGCCAGGGUGGGUGGGGGACAAGCCCAGAGGGCCGCCCAGCAGACCCAGGCUGCUGGGAGAGUGACACUGAUGAGGAAUCUCCAGGUUCUUGAAACAGCCUCCGCAACUUGCAAGGGUUGGGAUAGGGGCUUCCCGAGGCAGGAUGACGGGGAGCAGGGGCUGCCUGGCAGGGCCAAAGCUCAGGGUCUCUGCUUCCCUCCUGGGUCCUGGUCUCUUGAGUAGAACCAGAAACUUCUAAGUUGGAGCAGUGGGGAGGGGAGCUCAGCCUCCACCCCACCCAGGGGAAAUUAGACCAGACUUCCCAGGAAAUAAUUUCAAUUUUCCAGCAUCAUGGAAGCCUAGUCGGACAAUAGAGGAUUUUUUCCCCCCAAAAAAUUUUUAAAAAAGCACAAAAAAACUCCAAUUGCCUUUGGCUGAGCUGUUUUCCAACUUCAUUUCUCAGCCACAGUUCAAAACUUCUCAUUCAAAGUGACAUGUGACUGCUCUGUGACCCUGGUCCGCUCGGCCACCGGCCCUGUGAGGGGUCAGGCCAGGCCAGCACAGAACUCGAGCUCCCAGAAUCUGUGACCACCCCCACUCCCAAAAGCCUUCCGAGGUCUGCUCUGGAGACAAGGCCCGCAGGACUGUCUCUGGGCAGCCCCAGCGCCUCACAAUGAGGGAGGGGCUGCGGUGGAAACAAACCUGCCUCUGAAAGAGAGGAGAGUUUAGGGGCGGGUGAUUCCUACAGCCCAGGCCCAGGCCCACAGGGGUUUAUGUUACAAUAUAAACUGGGGCUUUAACAACUUUGAGACAGUUUCUUAUUUUUAGGGUUGGGGCGGGGAGUGGAGGUUGUCUUAAGAAUGCAAAUGGGGCAGGGCACAGUGGCUCACGCCUGCAAUCCCAGCACUUUGGGAGGCCGAGGUGGGUGGAUCAUGAAGUCAGGAGAUCAAGACCAUCCCGGCCAACAUGGUGAAACCCCGUCUCUACUAAAAAUACAAAAAUUAGCUGGGUGUGGCUGUGCGUGCCUGUAUUCCCAGCUACUCGGGAGGCUGAGGCAGGAGAAUCGCUUGAACCUGGAAGGUGGAGGCUGCAGGGAGCCGACAUUGUGCCACUGCACUCCAGCCUGGGUGACAGAGCGAGACUCCGUCCCCAAAAAAAAAAAAAAAAAAAAAGACUGCAAAUGGGCCUUGUAAACCCCUCCACGGGGAUGUUCUUAGGGCUCUAAUGAGUGGGGAAGGCCCUGCAGGCCAGGGAAGGGCCAGCCUCCAGUUGUACUGUCUGCAGUCAGCAGCCCUGGGACACUGGCAGAGGACAG